UAAAGCUAAGGUUCACCGGCUUACACAUAAGUGGAAUUUAUAAUGUGUAAAGCAUUAACACAGACACACACACAUGCAUGCAUGUGUGUGAGCACAUAGAUACACUACUGGCCAGGUCUGGUCAUGAAAACCAUGGUAAGUACCUGCCUUACCAAUUACGCAUCUAGAUCCUGGGACAGUGACUAACAGGCCUGGGUUUCUAAACUAGAUUCAUAAACACUCCCCCCAGCUGUGUGACCCUGAACUUAGUUCUCCCUCUCUGAGCCUUGGCUUCCUUUCUGGAUGGUUUGGGUAACAUUACCCAUGAUAACAACAUGGACCAGGACAUGGGCAUGGCAGACACCCAACCUUAGAUUGGCUGAGAAGCUGCCCACAUGGGGAUCCUUAUCCAAGCCUUCUUCAGCCCGAGGAGAGCCCUGGGACACUGGCAGGAAGCCGGCACAGCACGAGAUGAUGGGCCUUACUCAAAAGGGGGGAAGGACACAGCGGGGGCCGACGGGGCUCUGGUAUGCCGCCGCCAGAGCAUUCCAGAGGAGUUCCGGGGCAUCACCAUGGUGGAGUUGAUCAAACGUGAGGGCAGCACUCUGGGCCUGACCAUCUCCGGAGGGACUGACAAGGACGGGAAGCCCAGAGUCUCCAACCUGAGACCUGGGGGCCUGGCAGCCAGGAGUGAUCUACUGAAUGUGGGCGACUACAUCCGCUCAGUGAACGGGAUCCAUCUGACCCGCCUCCGACAUGACGAGAUCAUCACACUGCUGAAGAAUGUGGGCGAGCGCGUGGUGCUGGAGGUGGAGUAUGAGCUGCCCCCGCCCGCUCCCGAAAACAACCCAAGGAUCAUUUCCAAGACGGUGGACGUCUCCCUCUACAAGGAAGGCAACAGCUUUGGCUUUGUCCUCAGAGGAGGUGCCCAUGAGGACCUGCACAAAUCCCGCCCAUUGGUCCUGACUUACGUGAGACCUGGUGGCCCAGCGGACAGGGAGGGGUCCUUAAAGGUGGGCGACAGGCUGCUCAGCAUAGAUGGGAUCCCACUGCAUGGGGCCAGCCAUGCUACUGCAAUAGCCACCCUGCAACAGUGUAGCCAUGAGGCCCUUUUCCAAGUGGAGUAUGAUGUGGCCACCCCAGACACAGUGGCCAAUGCUUCAGGCCCUUUGGUGGUAGAAAUAGCCAAGACCCCAGGAUCUGCCCUGGGGAUCUCUCUCACCACUGGCUCCCACCGGAACAAGCCAGCUAUCACUAUCGACCGUAUCAAGCCAGCUAGCGUGGUGGACAGGAGUGGUGCGCUGCAUGCUGGAGACCACAUCCUCGCCAUCGAUGGCACCAGCACAGAACACUGCUCACUGGUCGAGGCUACUAAGCUCCUGGCCAGUGUUACUGAGAAAGUUCGACUGGAGAUCUUGCCUUCGCCCCAGAGUCGUCGGCCCCUGAAGCCCCCAGAGGCAGUGAGAAUACAGAGGAGUGAGCAGCUGCACCGCUGGGACCCCUCUGCCCCUUCUUGCCACAGCCCAAGGCCAAGCCACUGCAGGGCACCCACCUGGGCAGCUGGAGGCCCGGACCAGAGCCGAUCUGUGUCCUCGACUCCCUUCUCCUCACCGACUAUGAACCCCGCCUUUCCCUGUGCCAACGCCAGCACCCUGCCCAGAGGACCCAUGAGCCCCAGGACAACAGCAGGGAGGAGAAGGCAGCGAAGGAAAGAACACAGGAGCUCUUUGUCACUGGCCUCCAGCACGGUAGGGCCCGGCGGGCAGAUUGUUCAUACGGAGACCACGGAAGUUGUGCUCUGUGGAGAUCCUCUCAGUGGCUUCGGCCUUCAGCUGCAAGGAGGCAUCUUUGCCACCGAGACCCUGUCCUCCCCACCCUUGGUGCGAUUUAUUGAACCUGACAGCCCCGCUGAGAGGUGUGGUCUGCUGCAGGUGGGGGACCGAGUCCUAGCCAUCAAUGGCAUUGCCACUGAGGAUGGGACCAUGGAGGAAGCCAACCAGCUGUUGCGGGAUGCUGCGCUGGCCCGCAAAGUUGUUUUGGAGAUCGAGUUUGAUGUGGCAGAGUCUGUCAUCCCAAGCAGUGGAACCUUCCACGUGAAGUUACCCAAAAGACGCGGUGUGGAGCUGGGCAUCACCAUUAGCUCGGCCAGCAGAAAGCGAGGGGAACCCCUGAUCAUCUCCGACAUCAAGAAAGGCAGCGUGGCGCACAGGACUGGCACCCUCGAGCCAGGCGACAAGCUGCUGGCCAUUGACAAUAUCCGCCUGGACCACUGUCCCAUGGAGGAUGCCGUGCAGAUCCUGCGUCAAUGUGAGGACCUGGUGAAGCUGAAGAUCCGGAAAGAUGAGGACAACUCAGAUGAGCAGGAGAGCUCUGGCGCAGUCAGCUACACAGUGGAACUGAAGCGCUAUGGCGGACCACUGGGCAUCACCAUCUCUGGUACAGAGGAACCUUUUGACCCCAUCAUUAUCUCUGGCCUCACCAAGCGGGGUCUAGCCGAAAGGACUGGUGCCAUCCAUGUCGGGGACCGGAUACUGGCCAUCAACAGCGUGAGCCUCAAGGGCCGGCCCCUGAGUGAGGCCAUCCACCUUCUGCAGGUGGCCGGGGAGACGGUCACACUGAAGAUCAAGAAGCAGCUAGACCGUCCCCUCCUCCCCCGCCAGUCAGGCAGCCUCAGUGAGGCCAGUGAUGUGGAUGAGGACCCCCCUGAGGCCCUCAAGGGAGGCUUGCUGGCAACGCGCUUCUCACCUGCUGUACCCAGCGUGGACAGUGCUGUGGAGUCCUGGGGCAGCUCUGCCACAGAUGGUGGCUUUGGGGGCACAGGCUCCUACACUCCGCAGGUGGCAGUCCGGAGUGUGACUCCCCAGGAGUGGCGUCCUAGCAGACUGAAGAGUAGCCCCCCACCCCUUGAGCCCCGGAGGACGAGCUACACACCGGGUCCCUCUGACGAAAGCUUCCCAGAGGAAGAGGGGGACUGGGAGCCACCAAUGAGGCGUCCUGUGUCACCGCUCUCCACCCCGUCUCAUCUGCCCCUGUUCUAAUUGGCCACCAACAGUCUUGGUCGCCCCUAACUGCGUCUCCCCCACCCCAUUCUGUGUCACCAACCACUGCCCUGGGGCCCCAGCACUGCCACCGAGGACACCCGCCUGCCUGCCUGCCUGUCCUAUGGCCCCCGGAGCCCAGCACUGGGCCCUGGGCAACGAAGACUCCUCAGGCCCAGCCCACCCACCCUCCCACCUGCCAGGAGUUGACGCUGUGGUUCCUGUUGCAGCCCAGCCCCCGGCCCCGCCCGAGAGGAGGGUUUCUGGAGAGUGCUUGGAGAGGCUCUUGAAGACCUGGAGUCCUGUGGUCAGUCUGAACUGCUAAGGGAGCUGGAGGCUUCCAUCAUGACAGGCACUGUACACUCCGUGGCUGUGGAUGGCAGGCCUGGCUCUCGACCCUGGCGCCGGAGCCGGGAGGUCCGAACAUCCCCUGAAGACCUGCAGGAGCUGCUGCUGCCGACACCCCUGGAGAUGCACAGGGUGACCCUGCACAAAGACCCGGUGAGGAACGACUUUGGUUUCAGCGUCUCAGAUGGCCUCCUGGAGAAGGGUGUCUAUGUCCACACUGUGCGCAUUGACGGACCAGCUCAGCUUGGAGGCCUGCAGCCCUUUGACCGUCUCCUGCAGGUCAACCAUGUUCGCACUCGGGACUUUGACUGCUGUCUGGCGGUACCACUCCUGGCGGAGGCUGGGGACAUCCUGGAGCUGGUGGUCAGCCGUAACCCACUGGCACAGAGCCGCAGGACACCAGGAGCACCAGGCCCCAGUAGUCCCCAGAUGCUCUGAGGUCAUUAUGAAGCUCAGCUGGAGGAGUGGCCCCCAGUCAUCCACUUAUGGUCUGCAGAUUCCACAUCCAUAGAAUGGCAUCUUCAAGUUGGAUCUCAGAGAACCCCACGGGAAAGGUGCCGUCCCUGCUGCUCAGUCAGAAGAGUCCAGCUCCCUGCACAGUCAUCUCAGAGCAGCAAGAGGUGUGGGGAAAGCCCAGCUCAGUGUGGGAACUCGACUGAGCUACCAGUGUUUCCCAUCUUGGGAAGUGAAUAAGCAGAAGGUGGACAAUCCUGGUCUGUGGCAGGAGGCAUUCGGCAACCCAGCUGUAUAGAUGGCACCCAGUGCACAGGCAUCCUGCCACCAGGAAAGAUAUGGCACAAGAACAGUGUCCUCCCUUCUCCCAAAUGGUGGUGUUUUGAGAGCCUCCAGCAUCAGUGACCACACCGAGGAACCCCAGUUAGGAAGAUCUGGGGUACCAGAGAAUGCUUGCCCUUUCCUUCAGGUUGGCCAUACAAUCAUUUCUGUUUCGUGGGUGAUUCUGAACCCCAGAGCAGAGCCGUGGUCAUCAUUACCCUCCUGCGCCACAAAACCUUAGCCCAAGGACCCGUCCAGAGAAGGGCACUGCUCGAGUCAAAAGGUCCAGGAGCAUCUACUCACCUGGCAUUCCAACAGAUACCAUGGAAAAUAAGGCUGAGCCACGGCUGUGCCCCUGAUCCCAUCCAUGGAAAAGGGGAAGAAGAAAGAAGCUGAGAUGGAGGGAGGUUGGCUGAAGGACAAGACAGUAAUGAGAGGGAGCAGUGUCCAGAGAGGCUACUCAAGGAAGUCCCCAGCAUCCCUUAACUCGGGGUUCCUCCAUCUCUGCCAAGCAGAACCCUUCCAGCUUCAAGCAGGACUCAAGACACCUCCCAGUGGUCUGGGCUGGUCUGACAAUUGGCUUCCUGUUUGCCCAGCUCAAGGUCCCAAGGACCCAGGGGCCUCCAACCCUACCCCGUCACCCCUCUCUGCCCUUGAAGCUCAUUGCCCAAAAGAACUCCCUGUUGAAGAGGACAGACAGGGCCCUAAGAAGCCAUUCCUUUCCCUAGUUUCCUUCUUGGCUGAGUAACCUUGUGUGAAUCUGACAGACACAGGGCGAGCUCCAGCUGCCCACUCAGACGCUUCAGCUCUCUGCGUUUCCUCAGCUUCCCCCAUACCCUGCCCUUCAUGAUGGCCUCUCCAGGGACCCUUAUGCCUGGGUCCAGGUAACCCGGUGUCUCUACUUUCACUGCCCAUCCAUCAUGGGCACCAAACGAACUAAGACCUUCAACUUCCAGGGCAGGCGAAUGGCACAGCAGAGAGGAGACUCCUGGCUACCAGCACACCGGAUGCUGUGUGACCAUGGGCAGAUGGCUCAGCCUCUCUGGAUUUCUGGUGUGUGGCAUGGCUGACUGUACCUUGAAAGCCUCUUAGCUUGGGAAAUCUGUAUCCCACUUAAAGACUCCAGGUUCUGAAAAUGCAACCACUGCCCUCCCCUCGGGCUGAGGCUCUCCCAUCCUCCCAGAUGUAUGCAACUAGGCCAAUCGGUGGACCUCCUGGCCGUGGCCUGAGGCCUUCUCAUAUGCAAUAUCCCCCCUGGCUUCUCCCAGGGGUGUUUGCCCCACACAAUAUUCCUAGCCCCCUCCCCAGUGAGCAUCCUGCCUGCCUAUGCAUUUUGGGUACCUCCCCUGUGACACCCACCCCCAGAGCUGUAUUUUUCUCUGGCUAAGAUUAGAACAUAUUCCUUGUAAAGUAUUUUUCUAUGCCGGUUUUCUUAGGGCUCCCAGGGAGCACCCAGCACACCCAUGGCACCACUGUACAGGCUGUUCCUAGUCUGUCUGGGGCCCACGUAUAAAUCUUAUGUCCCACCAGGCAUCGCAGUGACUGGGGGGAGGUUGAGUGCUAUUGGGGUAAUUUUUGUAAUAAAAUUGGUUAAAUGCACAAAGUAGGUUUGUUUGCUUUAUAAAAAUAGCAGGCUGGCAAGGUUCAGCUUCUGUGUGUA